GAUUGGCGUGCGGGGCUGACAACGGGGCUCGCACCCCCGCUGGCGAGUGUGGGGCUGGGCGUGAGGAGGGUCGUCCUCGUCCUCUUCCUGGCAACAGCAGAGCCAGCGUACUUGCCCCCUGUCGUCUCUGGUUCCAGAAAGACAAGCUGUGGCACUUCCUUUUUUCACAACCUUCUUCAUUACCCGAGUCUCUCUUCCUGCUGCUUAAGGGCUCUUCAAGUUUAAGAAGAAAGUUCUUCCUGCAGACCAGCUGGAUGAGGGACCUCCAAACUUGGCCUCCUGGGAUGGAGAGGGACAUUUUUGCUAGCAGGCCUAUUGGUAGGCCAGAUAUCCUGAGGUUCAUUGCGAGCCCUAGAAAUAAAUGACUGCAAGUGAAAGGUGAGAUACAAAGGCACAAUGCUGCAGGUUGUUUUGUGCUAGCCAAAGCUGUUCAGGCAGUAGGACCUCAGCGAAAUCCCGCAUAGAAAGCAAAACUGAAAGGAGAAGCAGGCUGCAAUUGAGAAGCUUACUAAAUAGCCCUGUGGUUCAAUCCUAUUGCUGUGUAGCAGCUGGGUGCAGAAAGAAUUGCACAUACACCCAGGCAGGCAGCUGCAGCACCUUAGCAUGUGCAGCCAGGGGAGGAGGAUGACAUCCAGACUCCUUCCCCUGUGCUGCCUUAGUCCCAUCCUGCAUAUUCCUGCUACUCCCAGCAGUGCUGCUUCCUACCUAAGAUCCACUUGUGAUGUUGUCCAUCUAAGUAUUGUUUCCUGUGGUAUAGGUCAGUGCUGCUUAUGACUCAGACCAGCCCUUCAGUUUCUUUGCCUCUGUUGGAUAGACACAAAAUGCAUCCCACAAACAAAUUAAUCUGUCUCAUGCACAUAUAUAGAUGAUUCCCAGUUAAUUAGAAAACUGCACACUAGCAUCCUUGUCCUAAAUUAAGAGAAUCUUGAAUGGCUGUAGUAUCAGGUACUUAAAGCUACAGAAAUUCUCCCUGCCACCUGGCUUUUUUUUGUUUUGUUCUGUUUUGUUGUGCAUAUCAUUAUGCAUAACAAGGCAGUUAUUUAUGACAUAAGCACAUACAUUUUCAUAAGUUCGGCUUUUGCAGAGGUGGACAAAGCUGAAAAAUGUUCCUCCCCAGUGUCCUUGCAUGAGAGGUAUCCUUGAGGUGCUCCCUCAGCUUCUGUAUAUAAUAACACGCUGCCCUGUAUUGGGAAGGUGUUGCCUCCUCCCUGCAGCCAGGAGAGGUAAUGUUAACACAAAUAUACUUUUACACGUGUUCCUGUAUGUUGGUGAAGUGGCUUUGGAAAUUUGUCCUUCAUGAGCCCUGCAGAUACACUGGGUUACUAUUAAGGCUUUCUGUGAGAGUGCCAACACCUACCAUUUUCUUAUAGUUUCAACUUUUUAAAAACAAAACCUCUGAGAUUCUAGCCCCAGAAGAGGGCAAGAGCUGCUUGUUCAUUUUGGUGCACAAGAGUCAUAUUGCCUCAUGCCAGCAGUGUGAGAAACACUCAAAAUCAAUUAUUUCUGAUCAGAUGCAGAUCUUCGUGAGGUGGCCAAGUUUAUUCGUUACUGCAUUAGCGGGCGCACGCCACCUUGUGGUAAGGAAGAAAUUGUGAGCUUAAUCAGUGAAAUUACACUAUUUUAUACCCUUUCUACUAAGUAUGUGACAUCUCUCCUGUUGCUCAUUGGCUAAGCAUCUCAGACGCACAACCUACUAGACACAGUUGCUAAGGUAUGUUUCCAUAUAAGGUUUAUCACUCACCUGUCGUUUUUCAUUUUUCAAAGCAUCGGGUACUGCAUAUGUUUCAAGACACCCAGUGGUUGCUUCCACCAUGUGCUGUGUGUUAAUGCUCCAAUUCCAGGUACCUGUCUGGAAGAGAAGAACUACAUUCCCCAGGGGGCUUUGCAGUCAGAGAGGAGAUAUAACCUCUGGCAAAGUCACCUGAUGUCUCUUCUUCCUUCGGCUCUCCUCACUGUUGCUCGUCCUGACCUCACACAUUGCCUCAGCACUACUGGAGUUUGGGCUGCUUCCAAAGUCAUUGGCACUGAAAUGCAGAUCCUUCCGGCACCUCGACUGCCAGUGCUGAACUGGAUGUUUAAAGGAAAGGUUCCCUCCACCCAUCAUGCUACUGAUGCUACCUGGGGCAAGUGGAUUGUGUUGAUUAUGCAAGGAGCUCGGAUGGGGAACCUCAUCCAUCCAGGAAUCCUAGAGGUGAUCAUGGACUGGCCUGAAGGUAAAAAGUUUGGAGUGUCACCAGCAGAAGAGGUAUCACAAGCUAAAGAGGCCCCACUGUACAAUGAACUACCAGAAAAUGAAAAGAAAUAUGCCCUGCUCACAGACGGAUCGUGUCGUACUGCGGGGAAGCAUCGCAAAUGGAAAGCUGAUGUGUGGAGCCCCACAUGACAAGUUGAAGAGGCCACUGAAGGAAAAGGAGAAUCAAGCCAAUUUGCGGAGGUAAAAGCUGUCCAGCUGGCCUUAGAUGUUGCUAAAUGGGAGAGGUGGCCAAUGCUUUGUCUUUAUACUGACUCAUGGAUGGUGGCAAAUGCCUUAUGGGGGUGGUUACAGCAGUAGGAACAAAACAACUGACUAAGAAGGGGUAAACCUAUUUGGGCUCCUGAGCUGUUGGAAAGAAAUUGCUGCCCAAAUAAAAAAUAUGGUUGUAAAAGUG